rnacentral:rRNA from 1 species
CAGCCGCCACGGUAAUACGAAGGGUGCAAGCGUUACUCGGAAUUACUGGGCGUAAAGCGUGCGUAGGUGGUGGUUUAAGUCCGUUGUGGAAGCCCUGGGCUCAACCUGGGAAUUGCAGUGGAUACUGGGUCACUAGAGUGUGGUAGAGGAUAGUGGAAUUUCCGGUGUAGCAGUGAAAUGCGUAGAGAUCGGAAGGAACAUCUGUGGCGAAGGCGACUAUCUGGGCCAACACUGACACUGAGGCACGAAAGCGUGGGGAGCAAACAGGAUUAGAUACCCCAGUAGUCCCUGUCUCUUAUAC